GGCCGUGCGGAGACAAAGCUCGUCGCGAGAAAGUGCGGUGCUACGGCGAGUGGUGUCGUGUCGGCGUGUGCGUGCGCGGUGGAAGUGUUGGUGUUCCUGUUGCUGAAGUAUGCUGGACUCAUGGAUCUGGCUCCUUGCUUCCUGCUCAGAAGCAAGAUGGAAGGAUUUCUCUACUCCGAGGGAUGGCUACCUUGCACUCUCAGCCCUGGGAAACAGCCAGAGCAGAGCUGAGGAGGACCUGGAAGCCCAGGGGCAGGGAAUGUCUAUCAUUCCCUUUCUUCCCAAGGAACAGAUGAGAUGGAGGAGGAAGCAAAGUGAAAUCUCUAGAGUAGAGAAGAGAUGGAGAAUCUGGAAAAAAUAUGUUUCCCAGAGUCCUGAGUAUGGCAAGACUCUAGGGAGUUGUCAACAGAGGAAGAAGCAAAACAAGAAUCAGUUAACCCCUGAAAGAGAUUUCCAGCAGUCUGGUGUGAAAUGCCACUACAGGUAAGAGAAUCUGCAAGGAAAGCACUAGAGGAAGUUCAGUGGCCCUGGCAUGGCUUGCAGUAUCAGUGCCAUAGUAAUGCCUGCUAGCCAGCCCAUAGGCACACCAACCCAUCCCUUGCCAUGACUCCACUGUCACUCAGGGCUUUACUGUAAUGAUUUAUUAUUGCUGUCACUUAAGAAAUAACAGAAAGGUUAUGCUCUCUUUACACAUGCCCAGCUUGUGGACCUUACCUCUAUAUCUACUGUUCCCCUUGUGCUGGUAGAGCAACUUUUCCACUCUUACGUAAGAGUGAAAGGGUUCUGAUGGUUACUCUGUUUUUCUGAGUAAAAUAAGAAAAAAAAUGUUUUUGCAGCUGUUUCCAGAAAAGACCAGACACACAGAAGAAAAUCCAAUAAAUGAUUAACUCAGUCUUUCCAUCUGCGGAUAAUAGU